rnacentral:misc_RNA from 1 species
AGCAGCCGCGGUAAUUCCAGCUCCAAUAGCGUAUAUUAAAGUUGUUGCAGUUAAAAAGCUCGUAGUUGAAUUUCGAGAUCAAAUUGUUGGUCGUGCCUUGGUACGCACUGGCAUUAUUGGUUUCUCCCUUCUGACGAACCAUGAUGUCAUUAAUUUGGUGUCUUGGGGAAUCAGGACUGUUACUUUGAAAAAUUAGAGUGUUUAAAGCAGGCUCACGCUUGAAUACAUUAGCAUGGAAUAAUGAAAUAGGACGUUUGAUUCUAUUUUGUUGGUUUCUAGGAUCGACGUAAUGAUUAAUAGGGAUAGUUGGGGGCAUUAGUAUUCAAUUGUCAGAGGUGAAAUUCUUGGAUUUAUUGAAGACUAACUACUGCGAAAGCAUUUGCCAAGGAUGUUUUCAUUAAUCAAGAACGAAAGUUAGGGGAUCGAAGACGAUCAGAUACCGUCGUAGUCUUAACCAUAAACUAUGC